AAAAUAAGCUGAAAAAGAGCUUAAAUGAAAAAAGAUUGUGAAAAAAUAAUACUCAUGAGCACUCACCAAAAGGAAAACUCAGUUGAAUGAUUGAGGAGUCUAGACCAGCUGACCAAAGAACAAUAAUGAUUAAGAAAUUCCAACAGUGAUACUUUGGAAUGAUCACAGUGAAAAAAUGAUUGCAAUACUUUGAACCAUUAGCCUACUCGUCC
rnacentral:lncRNA from 1 species